AAGCGACUGCUAUAAGUGAGGAAAAACAUAGCUAGUGAAAGUGAUAAUAGAAUAUUAUAUGACAUUAUAAAUACUUUGUUUCUAAAGGAUUUCCUGGUAUCUGAAUUAGGUCGCAAUCAACCCCUUUUGCUGUCACUUCUAGGACGCUUAUAACGAAAGAUGAUCAUCCAUGACUCAUAGACGACUGACCCUUUGCUGGUGUCCCAUAAACUCUUAGUCCUUCUGAAAAUCAUUUUCGAUGGCACCAUACACAGUACAAACAACAACGAAGAUGAAUCACAAACAGACACAUCCUUAGGGAAUGCCCUCUACAAACAUAUCGAUCAUAGCAAGAUAAAGACUCAAAUAAUUAGGUCAUCAGGUAUUUUUCUGCUCUAGCUUGUCUUUGAAGUGAUCAGACGUUUACUUCCUGAACACCUCCGCCUAUCGAUACAGCUGGUGUAGCAGUUAUUGGAAAUAAUUUACUUUCAAACAGAAACAGAACGAAAAAUGAAUUCAAAGAAACGAAAUUACAA